rnacentral:misc_RNA from 1 species
GGGGCGCACGCCCCCGCGAGUCCCGUGGGAAUAUUCGGUCGCCUGCCAGACGGGCGCGCCCCGCGACGAGCCGGCCUGCCGGCGCGCUGGCGGGGSGCGUCGCCGAGGAGGAACGC